rnacentral:rRNA from 1 species
UACGUAGGGAGCAAGCGUUGUUCGGAUUUACUGGGCGUAAAGGGCGCGUAGGCGGCGCGGUAAGUCACUUGUGAAAUCUCUGAGCUUAACUCAGAACGGCCAAGUGAUACUGCAGUGCUAGAGUGCAGAAGGGGCAAUCGGAAUUCUUGGUGUAGCGGUGAAAUGCGUAGAUAUCAAGAGGAACACCUGAGGUGAAGACGGGUUGCUAGGCUGACACUGACGCUGAGGCGCGAAAGCCGGGGGAGCAAACGGG